UUAUAGUUAGACCAAAUAGUGGGUUCCUUUUAAGACUUUAAAAUUGUGGUUACAAAUUUUGUGUUCAGUUUACCACCUUAACCAUUUUUAAGUUUGCAGUUCAGUAGCCUGGAGUACAUUCACAUUGUUGUGCAAUAGCUCUCUAGCGCUUUCUCAUCUUGCAGACUGUAACUCCCUUCAAGCGCUCCCCUCCCCCAGCCCUGGGCAGCCACCUUUCUAUUUUCUGUCCCUGUAGUUUUGAGUGCAUCCACUCUAGAAGCAUCAUUUAGGCCAGCCAGUCGGAGGCACACCUAAGCAGCUGCCCUGGAUGAAGACCUGAGGUGAAGGAAGUAGCUGGAUGAGCCACACAGCAGGUGCGCCACAGGCUUCCAAGAGUGGGACGUGCGGCCAGUUCACAGCCUCUCAAAUGCAACCCAUGGCAGGCACCCUGAACCUUCCAGAAGGCCAGCUGGCGGACAUGUGUGAAAGCAUUUGUAUCCCACCUCGGAAGCAGACACUGCAAAGAGUGGCACGGGAAGUUUGUGCAGAGUCUACCGUGUGUGCAAACUCUAAGAUCGCCAUCAGGCCAGGAACUCGGCCUGUGGGAAGAUGCAGGGACGUUGGCAGUGCUUGUGGAGAGCCUUGUGAAAGAGCGCCAUGGAAAUGUACUCUAACUGCAGCUCUAGAAUUUCUCAAAUAUUCAGUAAUAUAAUAAAAGAGGCUGGGACACGGACAUGAAAGACCUAACCUGGAGCUUAGAGCUAUCGUCUGAGACUCCUCUCUGACCGUAGGGAUGUCUUAGAAAUUGUGAUGGUUUAGGUGUGAGGUGUCCCCCAAGCUCAUGUGUGAGGCAAAGUGGGGCUUUUCAGAUGUGAAAUGAUUGGACUGCUAGAGGUGUGACCUAUCAGUGGAUGAUGAACUGGUGACUGAAGACCAGGUGGGGUGUGGUGGAGGAGGUGGGCCACCAGGUGUGCCUUUGGGGGUUAUAUUGUGUCCCUGGUGGGUGGAGCUCUUUCUCUACUUCCUGGCUGACCUGUCCUGAGCUGCCUCCUCAGCCAGGCUCUCCAGCCAGAUGUGCUGCCUGUCCAGGGCUCAGAGCGGUGGUGGGCUGACCACGGACUGAACCUCUGAAACUAUGAACUAAAAUAAACUUAUCCUCCUUUAAUUUU
rnacentral:lncRNA from 1 species